GUCCGGAUUGGAGUCUGCAACUCGACUCCAUGAAGUCGGAAUCGCUAGUAAUCGCAAGUCAGAAUAUUGCGGUGAAUACGUUCCCGGGCCUUGUACACACCGCCCGUCACACCAUGGGAGUGGGAUGCAAAAGAAGUAGUUAGUUUAACCUUCGGGAGAACGAUUACCACUUUGUGUUUCAUGACUGGGGUGAAGUCGUAACAAGGUAACCCUAGGGGAACCUGGGGU
rnacentral:rRNA from 1 species